CAGGUACAGAGGGAUGCUACCGGGCGACCGGAUGCGGAUCUCGAAAGCCUGUCCCAGUUCGGACUGGAGUCUGCAACCCGACUCCACGAAGUUGGAUUCGCUAGUAAUCGCGCAUCAGCCAUGGCGCGGUGAAUACGUUCCCGGGCCUUGUACACACCGCCCGUCAAGCCAUGGGAGCCGGGGGCGCCCGAAGUCCGGGACCGCGAGGACCGGCCUAGGGCGAAACUGGUAACUGGGGCUAAGUCGUAACAAGGUACC
rnacentral:rRNA from 1 species